GGUCAGCUGGCCGAGUGCUUAAGGUGAUGGACUGCUAAUCCACUGAAUUUCCUGCAUGAGUUCGGGUCUGAUCCUGGUCG
rnacentral:tRNA from 1 species